AUGGUCCAGCGUUUGACACACCCAUAUUGUAGGCUUUCCUACAAUACAACCUCUCACAAAACCAAGCUGUCCCGAAGCCCUGGUAAUAGAAUUGUCUACAUUUAUACCAAGAAGGUUGGGAAAGCACCAAAAUCUGCCUGUGGCAUGUGCCCAGGCAGACUUCGAGGGGUUUCUGCUAUAUGACCUCAAGUUCUUAUGAGAUUGUCCAAAACAAAGAAACAUGUCAGCUGGGCCUAUGGUGGUUCCAUGUGUGCUAAAUGUGUUCGUGACAGGACCAAGCAUGCUUUCCUUAUCGAGAAGCAGAAAAUCAUUGUGAAAGUGUUGAAGGCACAAGCACAGAGUCAGAAAGCUAAAUAAAAAAUGAAACUUCUUUGAGUAAUGAAAAUGAAAGGACUUAAAAAAAAAAA